CAGCCGCCGCGGGAAUACGAAGGGGGCUAGCGUUGCUCGGAAUGACUGGGCGUAAAGGGCGCGUAGGCGGCGGCCAAAGUCAGGCGUGAAAUUCCCGGGCUCAACCUGGGGGCUGCGUUUGAUACUUGGUUGCUUGAGUGGGGAAGAGGGUCGUGGAAUUCCCAGUGUAGAGGUGAAAUUCGUAGAUAUUGGGAAGAACACCGGUGGCGAAGGCGGCGACCUGGUCCUUUACUGACGCUGAGGCGCGAAAGCGUGGGGAGCAAACAGGAUUAGAUACCCCCGUAGUCCCUGUCUCUUAUAC
rnacentral:rRNA from 1 species